rnacentral:rRNA from 1 species
UAAGCGGAGGAGAAGAAACUAACCAGGAUUUCCCUAGUAACGGCGAGCGAACCGGAAAGAGCCCAGCUUGAAAAUCGUGGUGCCUCGCACCUCGAGUUGUAGUCUGGAGAAGGUCCCUCUGCGACGCGCCGGACCCAAGUUCCCUGGAAAGGGACGUCAGAGAGGGUGAGAACCCCGUUCGUGUCCGAACCGCGUCGCUCCACGAGGACCUGUCUGCGAGUCGGGCUGUUUGGGAAUGCAGCCCUAAGCGGGUGGUAAAUUCCAUCCAAGGCUAAAUACUGGCAAGAGACCGAUAGCGAACAAGUACCGCGAGGGAAAGAUGAAAAGGACUUUGAAAAGAGAGUUAAAAAGUGCUUGAAAUUGCUGGGAGGGAAGCGAAUGGAAGCUGCGGGUGCGCCCCGGUUGGAUGUGGAACGGCUUCGGCUGGUCCGCCGCUCAACGCGGGGCGCUGGUCAGCGUGGGCCGUCGCGCCGGGACAAGAGCGGGGAUUCGCUUCCCGCCUAUGCCGGUGCGGUGGCCGAGGAACGAAGCGUGCGCCUCUUUUGGCGUGGGUUCGCCCAACUGCACGCUCGGGACGCUGGCGUAUUGAGCUCUUCAUCCGACCCGUCUUGAAACACGGACCAAGGAGUCUAACAUGUAUGCGAGCCGGUGGGCGGCAAACCCAUUGAGGCGCAAGUAACCUGACAGGUGGGACCCCGACCGCGAGGGAGGGAGCACCAUCGACCGACCGUGAUCUUCUGUGAAAGGUUUGAGUGUGAGCAUACCUGUUGGGACCCGAAAGAUGGUGAACUAUGCCUGAGCAGGGCGAAGCCAGAGGAAACUCUGGUGGAGGCUCGUAGCGAUACUGACGUGCAAAUCGUUCGUCAGACUUGGGUAUAGGGGCGAAAGACUAAUCGAACCAUCUAGUAGCUGGUUCCCUCCGAAGUUUCCCUCAGGAUAGCUGGAGCUCGUGUAAAAGUUUUAUCAGGUAAAGCGAAUGAUUAGAGGCAUCGGGGGUGUAACACCCUCGACCUAUUCUCAAACUUUAAAUAGGUAAGCCGCCGGGGUUGCUUGGUUGAACCCUGGCACAGAAUGAGAGCUCCAAGUGGGCCAUUUUUGGUAAGCAGAACUG